CACGUGGGCAACCUGCCCUACAGAUCGGGAUAACUCAGGGAAACCUGGGCUAAUACCGGAUAAUCCUUCGAAUCACAUGUUUUGAAGUUGAAAGGCGCUUCGGCGUCACUGUAGGAUGGGCCCGCGGUGCAUUAGCUAGUUGGUGGGGUAACGGCCUACCAAGGCAACGAUGCAUAGCCGACCUGAGAGGGUGAUCGGCCACAUUGGGACUGAGACACGGCCCAAACUCCUACGGGAGGCAGCAGUAGGGAAUCUUCCACAAUGGACGAAAGUCUGAUGGAGCAACGCCGCGUGAGUGAUGAAGGUUUUCGGAUCGUAAAACUCUGUUGUAAGGGAAGAACAAGUACGUUAGGAAAUGAACGUACCUUGACGGUACCUUAUUAGAAAGCCACGGCUAACUACGUGCCAGCAGCCGCGGUAAUACGUAGGUGGCAAGCGUUGUCCGGAUUUAUUGGGCGUAAAGCGCGCGCAGGUGGUUUCUUAAGUCUGAUGUGAAAGCCCACGGCUCAACCGUGGAGGGUCAUUGGAAACUGGGGAACUUGAGUGCAGAAGAGGAUAGUGGAAUUCCAAGUGUAGCGGUGAAAUGCGUAGAGAUUUGGAGGAACACCAGUGGCGAAGGCGACUGUCUGGUCUGUAACUGACACUGAGGCGCGAAAGCGUGGGGAGCAAACAGGAUUAGAUACCCUGGUAGUCCACGCCGUAAACGAUGAGUGCUAAGUGUUAGGGGGUUUCCGCCCCUUAGUGCUGCAGCUAACGCA
rnacentral:rRNA from 1 species